UACGAAGGGGGGCGAGCGUUGUUCGGAUUUACUGGGCGUAAAGGGCGCGCAGGCGGCUAUUUUUUGUCAGGCGUGAAAGCCCCCGGGCUUAACCUGGGAACUGCGCUUGAGACGGGAUGGCUAGAGAUCGGGAGAGGAGAGUGGAAUUCCCAGUGUAGAGGUGAAAUUCGUAGAUAUUGGGAAGAACACCGGUGGCGAAGGCGGCUCUCUGGACCGAUACUGACGCUGAGGCGCGAAAGCGUGGGGAGCAAACAGG
rnacentral:rRNA from 1 species